rnacentral:rRNA from 1 species
UACGAAGGGGGCUAGCGUUGCUCGGAAUCACUGGGCGUAAAGGGUGCGUAGGCGGGUCUUAAGUCGGGGGUGAAAUCCUGGAGCUCAACUCCAGAACUGCCUUCGAUACUGGAAGACUUGAGUCCGGGAGAGGUGAGUGGAACUGCGAGUGUAGAGGUGGAAUUCGUAGAUAUUCGCAAGAACACCAGUGGCGAAGGCGGCUCACUGGCCCGGUACUGACGCUGAGGUGCGAAAGCGUGGGGAGCAAACAGGG